rnacentral:rRNA from 1 species
UUCCACCUCUUCCCAUUCCGAACAGAGAAGUUAAGCCUUGUCACGCCGAUGGUACUGCGUAACAGUGGGAGAGUAGGUAGCCGCCGUUUU